rnacentral:rRNA from 1 species
UCGUGAAUAAGACCCGAAACCCUGCGAGCUAUCACAUAAUAGGUGUGCUUCUUUAUGAAAGUACGACUGAACCGGUGUAUGUUGCAAUAUACUCGGAUAAUUAUGUGAUAGGUGGUGAAAGGCCAAUCAAGAUAGGUAAUAGCUGGUUUUCUGUGAAAUCUAUUGAGGUAAAGCGGAGAAAAAAAUCUAUAAUGUUUACUGUUCUUUUCCGUAUGUGUAUCAUGGGGAAUGAUACGGUAAGAAUUAUAGAAUCUGUUCUCUAGUCAAACUUACGGUGGUAAGGUCGUAAGUUGAGAUGUAAAGAGACGUCAUGAUAUGCAAAGGUUUUUAAAUUAUGAUU